CCUUUCUCUUCUCUUUUCUUCUUCUGCUUUCUUUCUCUUCCCUUUCACUUUCUACAGUUCACACAAACUUAUCAUCACCACACUCCUCUUCCCCUGCGACAGCACUGCAAUUAAACCACAAUUAAACCUCUCACAGGAUUUCCCAUACCUCCUUACAUACAUUUUCUUUCCAGAUGCAAACCCUCCAUGAUUCCAACCACCAACAGUAGCUGCUUCUGCUGCUGCUGCUGCUUUAUGCUCUGGGAGGGUUUUGAGAAGUUUUCUUGAGUUCUUGCUUCGCGCAGCCUGUUCAUCUCCUAGGUUUUGUUGGUUGGGGUUUCGAUUGAUGAUUUAUUGUGAAUCUGGUGUCGAUUCUUUUCUGGGGUUGUGUAAUUUGUCGAUACGAUGUUAAAAGUUGGACCUUUCUGACGUUUCCAGGGGAAAGCCAUUUGAAAAGGUGGUGAAUGGAGAAUCAUUGUCAGCUUUCUCUUAGCUAAAAUGCAGAAGGAUCAAAAGAUCUUACAGGACAUAAAGCCAAAUCAUGUUUCACAUGAUUCGCAAACCGAACAGACAAACAAUGCCCCUGAUGCUCCUGUACCGGAUUCCGGGUCAGUUUCGGGAUCAAGCAACGACAAUCGAAAAGUUUCCCGAGAAGAUAUUGAGCUUGUUCAGAAUCUAAUAGAACGAUGCCUGCAGCUUUAUAUGAAUCGAGAUGAGGUGGUGAAAACCCUACUGAAUCGUGCUAGGAUAGAUCCCGGUUUCACAACACUAGUGUGGCAGAAACUCGAAGAAGAGAAUGCCGAGUUCUUCCGAGCUUACUACAUACGGCUUAAAUUGAAGAAACAAAUUAUCUUAUUCAACCACUUGCUCGAGCAUCAAUAUCACCUAACGAAGUAUCCGGUGCCCCCUAAGAUUCCUCUAGCCCCGAUGCAAAAUGGAAUUCAUCCAAUGCCUGUCAACAACUUACCUGUGGGAUAUCCCGUCAUUCAGCACCCUCCGCUGCCUGCGACGGGACAACCGCAUAUCGAUCCUAUGGGCUAUUCGGCACCCGGCUGCCACAUCGUCAAUGGAGUUCCCGCCCCGGGAAAUUUCCAUCCGAUGCCAAUGAAUUCUGGAAAUGAUAUGGUUAUCGACACUACUGCAGCUGACGUGUCGCCUGUUAUGCCGCCGAACAACGGAAUGUCAUCGAUGUCGGAUGUGCCCGUGAGCCCGACAUCUGUCGCAUCGAGUGGCCAUUUUCCGUUCAGUGCGUCGGAAAUUUCUGGAAUUGGAGUCGAUGCUUCAGCGCUCGAUUCUGCAUUUACAUCUGAUGUCGCGAGUUCAGUAGGGCUUCAGCUUCCUCCAGAUAACGGAGCUGGGAAUUCGAGAGAUUCCCUCGGAUCCUUGGGUCAGAUUCCGUGGAAUUUUAGCCUUACAGACCUCACUGCAGAUUUGUCGAACUUGGGAGAUUUAGGGGCUCUUGGGAACUAUCCCGGUUCGCCAUUUUUGCCGUCGGAUUCGGAUAUUCUUCUCGAUUCUCCUGAGCAAGAGGAUAUAGUAGAGGAGUUCUUUGUCAGUUCUGAUUCUGUUCCAGGGCAAGGACCUCCGUCAGAUGAAGAGAAGUCGUAGACCUAAGAAGCCAAUUGAUGCACCUUUAGAAAUAAAGAGUUCUUCCAUGACCCGAUCGAAUAUGUGGGCUAGAGGGAGAUAGGACAGAUAUACGUCGUUCUCCCUGAACUGUUGAACACAAAUGUGGUUGGAGAAACAACGUUAAUCAUCAUGGAUCAGACAUGGAUUUUUUCAGACCAGACAGAAAGUGAUGUUUGGAUGUUUUGUGUUGACUGACCUCUUCAUCGAUGGUUUCCAAAUGAUGAUUGACUCCGGAUAUGAUGGAGAGAACGGCUUCGUUGGAGAUCAUGACUCCCUUAGGAUCACCGUAGCAGCAGGAUGAAAGAGUAGAUAAACGGGAGCGAUGAUAGAAAUGAAAUGAAAUGAAAUUCGUCGAUAAAGAAAACAGUUAAACUAACCAGAAGCAAAAAGUCAUCCCAAGAAUAGAUGUUGCACCCGAAAUUGGCUGCUGUCUGCUUCUGAUCUUGUGUGAACUCUCCAAAGCUUACAAUAGCUGAGUGAGUCGAGUAUAUAAGUAGUAGCCCUUUAAAUAGAGAAUGGAGGACACAAACACACAAAACAGACACUGCCUUAUCACUUACUUUUCAAGUAUUUCUGAGUGUAGGGAAAUGUUUUCAAGAUCUGUAUUGUGUAAUAUAUUGUAAUUAAU